rnacentral:rRNA from 1 species
UGUUCCCUACGGGGCGCAGCAGUGGGGAAUAUUGGGCAAUGGGCGCAAGCCUGACCCAGCAACGCCGCGUGAAGGAAGAAGGCUUUCGGGUUGUAAACUUCUUUUCUCAGGGACGAAGCAAGUGACGGUACCUGAGGAAUAAGCCACGGCUAACUACGUGCCAGCAGCCGCGGUAAUACGUAGGUGGCAAGCGUUAUCCGGAUUUACUGGGUGUAAAGGGCGUGUAGGCGGGGACGCAAGUCCGAUGUGAAAACCACGGGCUCAACCUGGGGCCUGCAUUUGAAACUGUGUUUCUUGAAUACUGG